UAUGAAAAGAACAUGAAUUACAGGGAAUGAAAUUACAGUACAUAAGUGAGACCUAGAUUCUUACUUUAUGGUGACUAUAAUAACUUUCAACAUAUAAGAAGAUUUCAAAGUUCACUGGAUUCUUUCAUUUCCUUUUCGUUUUCCAAUACAAGAAAGAAUAAUCAAGUAGUUCUUUUUAAAUAAUUUUGAAAAAAUAUUAUUUGAUCCCAAAGAAUAGAAUUCACACCUUUUGCUCUCUGCUCUUUUAAGUUCUUCCACAACCUGAUGAAUUGGUAAGGAAAGAUCCAAAACAUAUUCUGGCCUUUAUCUUAGUUCUGUUUGCCAUGAGGUAAAUGCAGUUCCUUCUUUAUUUAUUUGUUUUUGUGGUGCGAGGGUUCGAACCCAGGGCCCUUUACCAACUGAGCUAUCUCCCCAGCCCAAUGUGGUUACUUCUUAAUAGUGAUGUUUAACCUCGGUUCAGUGAAUUCAAUUUUUUUUUUUUUUUUUUUGGUGGGGGCAGCCUUUGGUAGAGUGGGAUACACAUGGGAACUGAGUCUGAGCUUUGACUUGUGUGUUGAAUUCAAAGGGAUGCUUUCUUGUGCUAGAUGAAAGGUAAAAGAUUACUUGCCUAGUUUACCAUCAGCUCUGGGCAGAAUAAUUAUUUGAGGCCUGACAUUUAAUACAACAGCGAUCACAGAUAUUGCCACUGAAAGCUUUACCAACAAAGCAGGAACCAAAGAACCUUACACCAGUGUCUAACUUCAAUUCACUAAAGUGAGGGACAGAGCUGUGAAAUGAGGGUAAACUAUCAAGUGUUUCUUCAACACAAGGGAAAGAACAGUACAGCAAAGAGAACCAUCCAUAUGUAGUAAGAAUGAGCUUACAGGGCACAUGGAGUGCCCAAAUGCAAUGGAAGAGUCUGACUGUGAAGAAUUAGAUAUGUUAUUUUACCCAACCCUGUGGGACCUCACCUCAUGGGAAUGGGGUCUAUGCUGCAACCUCUGAGCAAGGAAUGAACUGGGAUGAAAGGAAAGAGACUGGAUGGCAAAGUUGAAAAAACCAAUGACUUAAAAGAGCUUCUUAGAAAUGGCCAGAACCACAUCUAGAGAAAGAUGACAGAGUCUCUCCAUGUUGUCCAGGCUGGCCUGGAACUUCUGAGUUCAAGCAAUCCUCCUGCCUCAACCUCAGCCUCCAGACUAGCUGGGAUCUGCAGGUGCACAACUCCAGCAAAGAGGUCAGGGGUGCAGCCAGUCUAUCUGUACUUCUAACAAGUGCCUCGAAUGAAUUGUGGACCCUUUCAGAAACACUGCUCUGGAGCAUCUCACAAAAUGCCUUACAUGUGACACUUAUGGAUAAGAAUUAUUUCUUGGUUUUAAUUUUCACCAUAUUGUUAAAGAAGACUUCACGUUUUCAAACCCUCAUGAUUGUGUGAAUUAUGACAGUACUAAUUGACAAUCCAAUUAAUAUAUAUUAAAUUGGCAUGGGUCUAUAGGCUUUUGACUAAAAUGAGAUAUGUGGGAUCUUAUGGAAACACUUUGAUUUAAAUAAGAAUUCUAAUAAGUAAUAAAUUGGAAAAGCAUUAGAAGAAAAAUAAGAGAAAUGUUUUUUGUCCUUUAUUUUUCUACCUGAAAUCAACUACUAACAUAGUACUUAGUGGUAAAACCUUGUGGGCCUUCAUUUGAAAAUCUGAAACAAAAGUAUCAUCUGUGUUCCCUAAUAGUGAUUAUUAUUCAGUGUGGUUCUGAUAGUUUUAGUCAAUGUAAAGAGAUGAUGACAAAUUACCUUAACUAUUGGAAAAAUGAGAUCAAAUUGUCUUUUUUAUCUCACCCUUUUUUACAGUUGCUAUGUCU